CCUCCUCUUCUUGGCGGGGGUGGGGCAUGGGGUCCUGGUCCCUGGAAAGUAUGGAGGCAGAGGGAAAGGGCUCCAGCCCCCUUAGCGUCAUGUCUUUGGCGCUGACGGUUUCCAGUCCACCAGUUCUAUCCUCAAAUGCCGGGACACUA